rnacentral:lncRNA from 1 species
CGCUGCGGCUGGCCCACUCCUCAUCCCUGCACCACGGAGGCUCUCCCAGAGGCAUGUCAAAACCCCGGCCUGACGACCAAGCUCUGUCCACUGCCCACCACAAACAGCCACCACUUGAGCCUAGAUGUAUGCACACAGCGGCGGCAUCCACCCGGGAGGGAGACCCCAGGAAGAGGCCUGCCGUCUGGGAAGCAGGCUCAGGCCUGUGUGGGCAGCAACCUAGAGGGAAGGGGCUAGGUGCUGAGGGGCCAUGUCCCUUGAGCUGGAGGAGGACAGAGCAAGGAACUCUACAGCAUGGACCUCAGGACAGAGCUCCUGGGUCAGGGCAUUGCCGGCCUGCAACGCAGGAGCAGGUCAGGGGCCCGCACUGGUGAGCACAGCUCCUGCGUUCGUGUGCUAGGGCUACUGUAAGGAGGUGCCACCAAUGGGGUGUGAACAGCAGCAGCGUGUGGUCCCACAGUUCUGGAGGCUCCAGUUGUCCACAGGGCUGGUUGGUUCCGAGGCAGUGGUGGGGAAUCUGGCCUCUCCUCAACUCUCUGGGGGUUUGCUGGCCGUCUUUGCUGUUCCUUGGCUGGUGGAGGCAGCGCCCCAAUCUCUGCCCGAAUCUUCACAUGGUGUUCUCCCUGCGAGCUGUGUCCAAAUUCCCAUCUUUAUAAGGACACAGUCACACAGGAUUAGGGGCCCACACUCCCAGGAUGACUCAUGCUAACUUAAUGAAUCACAUCUGCGAAGACCCUAUUUCCAAACAAGGUCGCAUUCCGAGGUCCUGGGGGUUAGGCCUUCGACAUGAAUUUGAGGGCACACAAUUCAACCCUUAACAGCUUCUGUCUCCCCACGCAUCCGAUGUGCUCCUCCCUCUGCCACGCUUAGGCUGGGGUCUCUACCAGGCACCUCGACCCGAGUCCCCAUUCAGGCCGGCUCUGAGCCUCACAGCUCUGUCUGUGGGAGUUGCCCUACUGUUUUCCACGGACCUUUAUUAGGUGACUUGGGAAUAUCAAGCAGUGCCCCAGAAUCCCUGGGUUUUGACACAGUGCUUCCUCCUCACCUGAGGCAGCAUUUCCACCUUCCUGCAGGGAUCUCUCCAAAGAGAUUCCUCCGCAGAGAUCUCUGGCCAGCGGAGCUCCCUUCUCCAGCGGUCAGCUCGGCAGCAAGCAGCCCCACAUGGCCAGAGGGCAUCUCUGCUCCUGUGUUUGGGAAGCAGACCCACAUUCCCCAGAGUACCGGGAGCCAGGACUGCCACUCCUGUGACCCCACCUUACCAGAGUGGGAAAGAAAAAUCCCUCAGUAGCUGAUUAGCUGUCAAGGCCACUCUGUGUAAGGACUGCAGAGGCGUGGCAAGGCCGUGACUGGCGUCCGUCCACAGAAGGCCUCUCACAGGCAUGGCUACCUCCAGUUUGGCAUUCUGGCGGUGGGGAAACGGCCUCCUAGGUCAGUCCCAGGUUAGAAGCCUGUUCUGCCCCCCACAGGCCCGCAUCUCAGUGUUAAAGGGUGCAGUCUCCCCGCUGCAACCAUUCCACCAGUCUGUUAGGCCUCCCGCUUCUAGGUGAAGGGCGUGGAGUGAGACCAGUGGAACUGAUGGACACAAGCUUAUCGCCACACUGGUUUUCCUCUGAAACAAGGCCCUGGAUUACAAGUGUCAUUUGUGGAAUCCCAAGGCAGUGAAGGAGGCCAAGGAUGGCAUACUGGCGGGAGAAGCCUCCGAGGACCCAUCCCUGCGAGGAUCCAUCCCUGCAAGUACUGGCUCUUGACAAAAGGCACACCGUGUGCUCUGCCUGCUUCCUGGAGGCUGGCUGCCCUCCCCACAGGGGGUGGUGCCAGAUCAGGGCUCAGACACCAUCCUCGCUGUUGGAAAGAUGGGCGCCCAGCUGUCCAUGCUGCUGGAAGGGUCUGGUGGGGGUGAAUAGGCUACAGAGCCUGUGUGGCCACCAUGCCUGUGGCCUCAGCCACUUUGUGCAAAGGACUGCAAAGGCGUGGCAAGGCCAUGACGUGUCUGUCCACCGAAGGCCUCCCUGGUUUUGAGCCCCUCCUCUGCAGGGAAUGCUUCCAGCAUUUUCAUGGAUUACAAAUGUCUUCAGCCCCUGCCCUUUCAAGCAGUUCCUGAGCUCCUCUCCCCAGUCCACAGAGCCAUCUCCUGCCUGUGAGUUAGGCCUAAUCAAUGUAAAUCUCUCCUCCAGGCCCUCCCUUCCCUCCAGGGUGAGUUGGGCAACCAGAGGUGCUGCUGGACAUUUGAAAAUACAAAAGGCCAGGCGUGGUGGCUCAUGCCUGUAAUCCCAGCACUUUGUGAGGCCGAGGCGGGUGGAUCUCAAGGUCAGGAGUUCGAGACUAGCCUGGCCAAGAUGGUAAAACCCUGUCUCUACUAAAAAUACAAAAAUUAGCCAGGCGUGGUGACAGGCACCUGUAAUCCCAGCUAUUCAGGAGGCUGAGGCAGGAGAAUCGCUUGAACCUGGGAGGUGGAAGUUUCAGUGAGCCAAGGUGGUGCCAGUGCACUCCAGCCUGGGUGACAGAGCGAGACUCCUGUCUC